CAACAUUUCAUUAAUUUUUUGUUUCGUUAUAGACAAAGUGAACCUAACACACAUAUUUCAACAAAAGUAGAGAAAAUAAAUAAAAGUACAACCCAACUCCCUUGCAAUUUGCAAGUAUUAUUUCCUGAAUUUACAUUUUAGUUGCCUUUGAAAUUUAAUUAUACAUUCUAUAUACUGUUAUAUACAUGCACUGGUAUGAAUACAGAAGGGAUUCACAUUGCUCAAUGGAUACUAGAACAGUCUGUCUGUGGCUGCUUAUCACAAAUUUAAACUUAGAAACUAGUUUGCGUAGUCUGGCUUGCCAGCAACAUAAUCAAUGAUUCCUUGACCUUGUGUUUCACCGUGUGUUUCUGUUGACAGCUGAGAAACACCACCAAAGGCGAUUACUGCCACCAAGAACAGAGUUGUGGAGGCAAAGAGAGGCCAAAAGUAACCUAAAAUGGAUAGAAGCCGAGGGGCUGCAUACAGAAACAAGGAAAAUAUUAAUGAAACGAAGAUUGCUAUGCCAAAAUGAUAUCUGUACUUGAAAAGCUGUGGUGAGAUAUCAUCCAUGGCAAUGGCUUGCUUUCUUCUCACGUACAAUCACAACUCUCAACUCUCAACUCUCAACUCUAGAGAGAGAGAGAGAGAGAGAGAGAGAGAGAGAGAGAGAUUAUGGUUGUAUCUG
rnacentral:lncRNA from 1 species